UCUUGUGUAAACAGGUGAAACAGCUGGACCCGGGCUCGCACCGCCUGCGGCUGCAGAGGCAGGCGGGCCGUGACGUGGAGGUCCGGCACGUGGCUCCCGGCGAGCUCCUCCGUGACGUGGUCGCUGAUCAGCUGGAGGUGGUUCCAGCUAACGUGUUUACGCUGCACAUGAGGAGAACCGGUGACGUCGCCGACUUUGGUUUUGCAGUAACGGGACACGUCGACAGCCAGAAGAACAGCAGGAUAUUUGUCAGUGAAGUUCUCCCUGAAGGACUGGCCUUUAAUGAGGGUACUCGCUGCUUAAUUCUGACCCCUAAACACAUGACC